GGGUUGUGAGGUUAAGCGACUAAGCGUACACGGUGGAUGCCCUGGCAGUCAGAGGCGAUGAAGGACGUGCUAAUCUGCGAUAAGCGUCGGUAAGGUGAUAUGAACCGUUAUAACCGGCGAUUUCCGAAUGGGGAAACCCAGUGUGAUUCGUCACACUAUCAUUAACUGAAUCCAUAGGUUAAUGAGGCGAACCGGGGGAACUGAAACAUCUAAGUACCCCGAGGAAAAGAAAUCAACCGAGAUUCCCCCAGUAGCGGCGAGCGAACGGGGAGGAGCCCAGAGCCUGAAUCAGUGUGUGUGUUAGUGGAAGCGUCUGGAAAGGCGCGCGAUACAGGGUGACAGCCCCGUACACAAAAAUGCACAUGCUGUGAGCUCGAUGAGUAGGGCGGGACACGUGGUAUCCUGUCUGAAUAUGGGGGGACCAUCCUCCAAGGCUAAAUACUCCUGACUGACCGAUAGUGAACCAGUACCGUGAGGGAAAGGCGAAAAGAA
rnacentral:rRNA from 1 species